rnacentral:rRNA from 1 species
AUUGAACGCUGGCGGCAUGCUUUACACAUGCAAGUCGAACGGCAGCGGGGACUUCGGUCCGCCGGCGAGUGGCGAACGGGUGAGUAAUGCAUCGGAACGUGCCUAUCAGUGGGGGAUAACGCUUCGAAAGGAGUGCUAAUACCGCAUAUUCUCCGAGGAGGAAAGCAGGGGACCUUCGGGCCUUGCGCUGAUAGAGCGGCCGAGGUCGGGUUAGCUAGUUGGUGAGGUAAAGGCUCACCAAGGCGACGAUCCGUAGCGGGUCUGAGAGGAUGAUCCGCCACACUGGGACUGAGACACGGCCCAGACUCCUACGGGAGGCAGCAGUGGGGAAUUUUGGACAAUGGGCGAAAGCCUGAUCCAGCCAUGCCGCGUGAGUGAAGAAGGCCUUCGGGUUGUAAAGCUCUUUUGUCCGGGAGGAAAUCCUGGCCUCUAAUACAGGUCGGGGAUGACAGUACUGGAAGAAUAAGCACCGGCUAACUACGUGCCAGCCGCCGCCGUAA